GGCUUCACUGGCUGCCAACAAAAAUUACCCAAGGAAGGAAAUUCGUUAAACUUAGUACAUAUAAUAUAUAAAUCAAAUCAAAUGGAGCGACCACAUAUAUACAUUAUAACUCAGGGGAGGGGGAAAAAGAAAAGAAAAACAAGAGACCAAAAAAGGGUGAAGACUAAAGAGUAGUUUAGGGUGAAGACUAAAGAGUAGUUUUUUUACCCAAGCUAAAAAACUUUUCUUUCUUCUGGUUUCCAAAGAGAAAGAAUUCAAACGUGCUUCUAUUACGAAUUCUUUUUUACUUUGGAAUCCAUUCCCCCUCCCCCGCCAUAUACAUAGAGUAAUAUUUGAAAAAGCAGCUCUUAAAAAUAAAAGCAAACGAAUUCAUUCUCUCGCCUAACAUUUUGUUACAACCAAAAUGCAAAUCCGCAAACAAGAAUUAGACCCACAAAAGAUUUUAAGUUCGAAACUGUCAAUUCAUCAUCAAAAUGAUUUAUCAUUCAGAGACAAACUAUAUUAAUCCAUGAAAAUUCCAAAAAAUUAAGAAUAAAUGCUUGAAGCAGGGAGAGG
rnacentral:misc_RNA from 1 species